AUUGAAGCCAGUAGUUGUAUACCUAUUUCAAAAAUCAGCAAGUGGUUAGUAACAUUCUACAUCAAGGUUAUCAUAUGACAGAACGUCUGGGGUGAAAGCUAAGCUACUUCCAAUGGUCCCAAAUGAGAAGGCAAGAAGGUAUCAGCUGUAUGAGAA